rnacentral:rRNA from 1 species
GGAGGGCGCAAGCGUUGUUCGGAAUCACUGGGCGUAAAGCGCGUGUAGGCGGCUUGGCAAGUCGGGCGUGAAAUCCCGGGGCCCAACCCCGGAACUGCACUCGAAACUGCCUCGCUAGAGUCCCGGAGAGGAAGGCGGAAUUCCCGGUGUAGAGGUGAAAUUCGUAGAUAUCGGGAGGAACACCAGUGGCGAAGGCGGCCUUCUGGACGGUGACUGACGCUGAGACGCGAAAGCGUGGGGAGCAAACAGGAUUAGAUACCCUGGGUAGUCCACGCCGUAAACGUCGGGUGCUAGGUGUCGCGGGUAUUGACCCCCUGCGGUGCCGCCGCUAACGCAUUUAGCACCCCGCCUGGGGAGUACGGUCGCAAGGCUA